rnacentral:lncRNA from 13 species
UAUGAUACAAGUUUUUACAAAACAUUUACUCCCUCACUGUGGUAUUAUAUUCGUAUUUCAUCCUCUUUACCCCCUACCAUCCCUACUUCUCCUACCAUCACCACCAUCCCUACCAUCCCUACAACCACUACCAUACAUGCCAACAAUACCAUCACUAGCAUCACUACCAUCAUAACCAUCACUACCAACCCUGCCACAACUACCACUCUAACAUCCCUACCAUUGACUACCAUCAUCUCCAUCCCUACCACUAGCAUCACUACAAUCCCUACAACCCCUAGCACCCCUAGCACCCCUACCAUCACUUCCAUCCCUACCAUCACUUUCACCAAUAACAUCCCUACCAUCUCCACAAUCACUACCAUAACUACCAUCACUACUAUUCCUACCAUCCCUACCACAACUACCACUCUAACACCCCUACCAUUGACUACCAUCACCACCAUCCCUACCAUCACUACAGUCAUCACCAUCCCUGCCACUAGCAUCUCUACAAUCCCUACCACCCCCAGCACCUGUACCACCCCUACCAUCACUACCAUCACUUCCACCAAUAACAUACAUACCAUCUCCACAAUCACUACCAUCACUACCAUCCCUAUCAUCACCAUCAUCACAACCAUCAAUUACAUAACAACCAUCCCUACCAUCAACACAAUCCCUACUAUCACCACCAUCACUGCCGUCCCUUCCAUCACCAUCAUCACCACCUUCACUACCACAACUACCACCACUAACACCACUACCAUCACUAUCAACACCACUACCAUCAAUAACAUAACAACCAUCCCUACCAUCAACACAAUCCCUACUAUCACCACCAUCACUGCCAUCCCUACCAUCACCACCAUCGCCAUCAUCUCUACCACAACUACCACCACUACCAUCACUAUCAACACCACUACCACUACAACCACUAUUGUCAAUAACAUAACAACCAUCCCUACCAUCAACACAAUCACUACUAUCACCACCCUCCCUACCAUAACUACCAUCCCUACCAUUACUACCACCACUACCAUCACCACCAUCACUACCACCACUACCAUCACCACCACCAUCCCUACCUUCACUACCAUCCCACAAUCAAUAAUAUCACAACCAUCACUGCCAUCCCUACAAUCACUACCAUCAGUACCAUCCCUACCAUCACCACCAUCACUACCAUCCCUACAAUCACCACCAUCAUCACCAUCACUACCAUCCCUACAAUCACCACCAUCAUCACCAUCACUACCAUCCCUACAAUCACCACCAUCAUCAUCCCCAUCACUUCCACCACUAACAUCCAUACCAUCUCCACAAUCACUACCAUCACUACCACAACUACUUUCUACCAUCACUACCAUCCCUACCACCACUACCAUCCCUGCCAUCACUACCAUCACAUCCAUCCCUACAAUCACUACCACAACUACCAUUACCAACAUCCCUACCAUAACUACAAUCACCACCAUCCCUAAAACAACCAUCACUACUAUCCCUACCAUCACUACCAUCCCUACCAUCACCACCAUCUCUACCAUCCCUACCAUCAAUUCCAUCUAUACCAUCUCAACCAUCACUACAAUCACUACAAUCACUCACAUCCCUGCCAUUACUUCCACCACUACCAUCCUGACCAUCAUUACCACAACAACCAUCACUACCAUCCCCACCAUCCCUACCAUCACUAAAACCACUACCAUCACUACAAUUACCACCAUCAGCAGCACUAUCACUUCCAUCCCUACCACCACUAUCAUCACUACCAUCACCACCAUCACUACCAGUAGCCUAGAUACAAGAAAAUACCUUGACAUUAUCUCUAUACUAAAGCUGAGAAAAGAACUGAAGAAAUAUACAAUGAAAUUAAAGUGA